GUCUAUAGCCAUAUCACCCUGAAUGUGCCCCAUAUUUAUUGUCUGAUGGCAGAAGCUAAGCAGAGUUGGGCCUGGUUAGUUCUUGGAUGGGAGAAUUACAUGAAAAAGGCAUGUGGAGACA
rnacentral:rRNA from 1 species